rnacentral:rRNA from 1 species
UACGUAGGUGGCAAGCGUUGUCCGGAUUUAUUGGGUUUAAAGGGUGCGUAGGUUGUGUUGUAAGUCAGUGGUGAAAUCCGGCAGCUUAACUGUCGAUGUGCCAUUGAUACUGCAGCACUUGAGUACAGACGAGGUAGGCGGAAUUGACGGUGUAGCGGUGAAAUGCUUAGAUAUCGUCAAGAACACCGAUAGCGAAGGCAGCUUACUAGACUGUAACUGACACUGAUGCACGAAAGUGUGGGGAUCAAACAGG